rnacentral:rRNA from 1 species
AUUGAACGCUGGCGGCAUGCUUUACACAUGCAAGUCGAACGGUAACAGGCCUUCGGGUGCUGACGAGUGGCGAACGGGUGAGUAAUGCAUCGGAACGUACCCAGAGGUGGGGGAUAACGCAGCGAAAGCUGUGCUAAUACCGCAUGUGAUCUGAGGAUGAAAGCGGGGGACCGAGCAGCAAUGUUUGGCCUCGCGCCUUUGGAGCGGCCGAUGUCGGAUUAGCUAGUUGGUGGGGUAAAGGCCUACCAAGGCGACGAUCCGUAGCUGGUCUGAGAGGACGACCAGCCACACUGGGACUGAGACACGUCCCAGACUCCUACGGGAGGCAGCAGUGGGGAAUUUUGGACAAUGGGCGCAAGCCUGAUCCAGCAAUGCCGCGUGCGGGAAGAAGGCCUUCGGGUUGUAAACCGCUUUUGGCAGGAACGAAACGGUGUCCGCUAAUACCGGGCGCUAAUGACGGUACCUGCAGAAUAAGCACCGGCUAACUACGUG